UACGAAGGGGGCUAGCGUUGCUCGGAAUCACUGGGCGUAAAGGGCGCGUAGGCGGGGAUGUAAGUCGGGCGUGAAAUCCCCAGGCUCAACCUGGGAACUGCACUCGAAACUGCGUUUCUUGAGUAUCGGAGAGGAAAGCGGAAUUCCUGGUGUAGAGGUGAAAUUCGUAGAUAUCAGGAGGAACACCAGUGGCGAAGGCGGCUUUCUGGACGGUAACUGACGCUGAGGCGCGAAAGCGUGGGGAGCAAACAGG
rnacentral:rRNA from 1 species